rnacentral:rRNA from 1 species
GGAAAGGCGCGCGAUACAGGGUGACAGCCCCGUACACAAAAAUGCACAUGCUGUGAGCUCGAUGAGUAGGGCGGGACACGUGGUAUCCUGUCUGAAUAUGGGGGGACCAUCCUCCAAGGCUAAAUACUCCUGACUGACCGAUAGUGAACCAGUACCGUGAGGGAAAGGCGAAAAGAACCCCGGCGAGGGGAGUGAAAAAGAACCUGAAACCGUGUACGUACAAGCAGUGGGAGCACGCUUAGGCGUGUGACUGCGUACCUUUUGUAUAAUGGGUCAGCGACUUAUAUUCUGUAGCAAGGUUAACCGAAUAGGGGAGCCGAAGGGAAACCGAGUCUUAACUGGGCGUUAAGUUGCAGGGUAUAGACCCGAAACCCGGUGAUCUAGCCAUGGGCAGGUUGAAGGUUGGGUAACACUAACUGGAGGACCGAACCGACUAAUGUUGAAAAAUUAGCGGAUGACUUGUGGCUGGGGGUGAAAGGCCAAUCAAACCGGGAGAUAGCUGGUUCUCCCCGAAAGCUAUUUAGGUAGCGCCUCGUGAAUUCAUCUCCGGGGGUAGAGCACUGUUUCGGCAAGGGGGUCAUCCCGAC